rnacentral:tmRNA from 1 species
GGGGAUGCCAGGCAUCGAUAAUAAAUUUCUUUUAAGGCAUUCAGAAGUGCGUCUCAAGCCGUCACUCUAAUCACGCUUGAAAAUUAAUAAGUGUCAAAAACUUAUUCAGCAAAGCGACCUUCUCUUGGAGAAUGCCGGCCUUUGCUCCUGUUGCCGCUUAAUAGCCGCAACCAUUCGCCCGGCUGACGCCUAUGCGCCGGAUACGAGUGUAAUAUUUUAGGCUCGGAUAAUCGGUUGCUUUAGCCGGUUAUUUUAAAAAAUUAAGGCUGGCUAUCGCCGAUUUUGCUCGGUUUUUACGGUGGUAGCGAGAAAACAAAUCGAUCUAAUCUGUAAACAUGCUUUAAAAAGUUUAUUAGACAGGGGUUCAAUUCCCCUCAUCUCCACUU